UACGUAGGCAGCAAGCGUUGUUCGGAAUUACUGGGCGUAAAGAGUGUGUAGGCGGUGCUCUAAGUUCGGUGUGAAAUCUCCCGCUUAACUGGGAGGGUGCGCCGGAAACUGGAGUGCUCGAGCGUGGGAGAGGAAAGCGGAAUUCCUGGUGUAGCGGUGAAAUGCGCAGAUAUCAGGAGGAACACCAAUUGCGAAGGCAGCUCGCUGGGACGUAACUGACGCUGAGACGCGAAAGCGUGGGGAGCAAACAGG
rnacentral:rRNA from 1 species